rnacentral:rRNA from 1 species
AACGAACGCUGGCGGCAUGCCUAACACAUGCAAGUCGAACGAGACCUUCGGGUCUAGUGUCGCACGGGUGCGUAACGCGUGGGAACCUGCCCUUAGGUUCGGAAUAACUCCCCGAAAGGGGUGCUAAUACCGGAUAAUGUCUUCGGACCAAAGAUUUAUCGCCUUUGGAUGGGCCCGCGUUGGAUUAGCUAGUUGGUAGGGUAAAAGCCUACCAAGGCGACGAUCCAUAGCUGGUCUGAGAGGAUGAUCAGCCACACUGGGACUGAGACACGGCCCAGACUCCUACGGGAGGCAGCAGUGGGGAAUAUUGGAAAAUGGGCGAAAGCCUGAUCCAGCAAUGCCGCGUGAGUGAUGAAGGCCUUAGGGUUGUAAAGCUCUUUUACCCGGGAGGAUAAUGACAGUACCGGGAGAAUAAGCUCCGGCUAACUCCGUG